GGACGGAUGGCUGAGCUUGGUUUAAGGCACCGGUUUUGAAAACCGGCGUGGGGGUAACUCUACCGGGGGUUCGAAUCCCUCUCCGUCCGC
rnacentral:tRNA from 1 species